rnacentral:snoRNA from 1 species
AAGACUGUACUUUCAGGGAUCAUUUUUCUACAGUUUGUUACUAGUUUCUCUGAUGUGUGUAGAGCACCAGAAACUAACUACCAGGAGAAGACACAGCCUUCUCUCCUGAGCAUGAAACUGGCUCCUGGUGUUGCUUCCUUGCAACUGCCGUUUACCACUGAUGGUUGUUUUACCCUUUCUUUGGGAGAGGAGAGUAAGAAGGGGAGAAUGCAGUCUGAGUGGU